UCUUCUUCUUCUUCUUCUUGAGUCGUGAGUUCAUUGAAUCUGUGUUGCCAUAUCUCGUUUCGCAACUCGAUUUGAUUGCUUUUAUUCAAUGUCGGUUGCGUGACUGCGUUAAUAAGGCUGGUGUUGGCCCUGUUGGGUUUUUCGUUUUUGCCCCCCCUUUUUCAACGCUUGUUUUGUUUCCGUCGUUUUAUUUUCUCGUUUAAUCGUAUCUUAGUUCCACACUUCCACUUCUCUCUGUUUUUGUUCUUUUGUGAUAAUUUUGAUGCGGAAUAUGAAUACUUUUUGGACUGAGUUUUUCUCCUUCACUUUUGGGUUCUUGGGGACUUAGGGUUUUGGUGUCUUUGUGAGGUAGAAAUGAGUGGUUUAUGUCAAUGAUUUGUGAAUUCCAUUUCUUCAAUUUGAUGUAAAUGAAGGGAUUUGUCCUUCUCUAACUGGUUGAGUGGUUUCUAUCUUUUUCAUUUUCUGAUGGAAACUGAUAUCAAUUUUUAAUGCAUUCCCGAAAGAAAAGCGAGAACAAAUUGAAAUCUACUUGAGGUAUGCUGCUUGAUUUUAUUCAAAAACCGCUUGUCAUAUAAUGAAGUGACUGUUUCAAGACGAGAACAGUGAAUGAUGAGAUGUGGAUUAGUUCAAUGAAGCUAAAUUGGUUCAAAGGCUUGUUCAUUUUCCAUUACAAGAAUAAGCAAAUCACAGCCAUCGGAUCAAGCAGCCGGAGAGUAGACAGUUACUUGCUUAGGUAUUGUUUUUCUCCUUUCGGUUGCCUCAGAUUUAAGAUUCAAUUCAGUGCUCAUUUGAGAUCUGUGACGAGAUUGUGGGAUUGCAUUUUUACUUUAUGAUCUUCAGUUGGCCGAUUUCCGUGUGAAAACAUCGUGCCCGACAUUGUUCAGACUUGUAACCAUUAAUAGCUGCUCCUCUAGUUCCAGUUCUAUACAGAGAGACACUAGAGAGAGAGAAAGAGAGCUGAAUUUUUGGUUAGUUACCAACACUGUAGCCUAAAUUCGACAGUUUUCUUUGCCAAAGGGAUACUUGAAAAUGGAAGGAUAUUAAUGGGUUCAGAGUUUAAAUGAUGAAAUUGCCACUAACUUUGAGUUGCAGAAACACACAAAGUAUUUAUAUCUGAUCUACCAAGAUAGUGAAAUUGACACAAGAAGUGAUAUGUGAAGUGAAAAUGUCUAGAAUAAUGGAUAGGAUUAAGCGGGGAAGCGUCAUGAAGCGAGACACGAAGGAGAGCAAAGUUGGGAAGCGAGUUUCCCUACUAGUGGACUUCACAUAUUAGGACAAAGCCCGUUGAAAAAUUCAUGCUGGUGCUAGACAACUUGUAGAUAGCUGUUAGUCAAUUUUUAAUGUUGGUUUACUUUCUGCCAUUACCACAUGCUUAGACAGUUAAAGAUUUGUAAGUUUUUGAGACAAAUGAAAGUGUUUUCUUAUGAUUUUUUGGCCAUUAUUUACAACAGCCACCGCUCUUCAUGUAUUAGCUUAUGAUUAUCUGCUUUAUUUUUAAAAUAACAUAUAUUUUAAUUUGAUUUUUUUUCACGUACUAUAUGCUAAUGCCCCAUAGCCAAAAAUUUCUGGCUCCACCACUGGUCCAAAGUCUCCAGACGUGCACAUUUGGACAGGUGAGGUGCAUUAACUUAGAAUCAAAAUGUAGCUCAAUAUGCAAGUUUCUUAUCCUCGUCUGGGUGCUGACAGAAAGGCCUCAUCGUCCAGAAUGGGUGCAAAUAUAAUGAUUAAGAAAAGACUUCAGAUAAACAAUACAUUGAAUAUUUGAGUUUGUAUACAUAUUUUGUUGGAAUUUUUAAAACUUCUGAUGAAGUUUGGUUGUGUUGAUCGGACCUUAGAAAGUUGAAGCAUCGGACACAAGUAUCUGGAAAUCACAAUUAACAUAAACAAGCUUGUUUCACGUAUUUCUUCUCCUUUUUUCCUUGAAUCUCGUGAUAGGACUUGAGGCCUUUUCUUCAUCUUUCAAUUUUUUGAUGUACACAGGCAUAAUGUCUUUUUUUAGGGAAGUAUACUAGCUGUACACUUUCACAAUGAAAGGACUUAGAUGUACACUUUUUUAUUUUCUUGAAAAUUAGGUGGAAGACUAACAGGGAGUAUAGUCUUUUCCAGAGUUUGAUUUGUUUAAAAAUAUGAAAUUUAGGAGCUAUAUUCUUAGAAUAUGAUGCAUGAAGCAGACAUCAUAUCUACUUUCAGUUCCGUGCUUUGUGCUUCUUGAGUAGUAUAUAAGGCUGUAAGCUGUCAGAUUGGUCUACAAUUUUUUACCUGUGUAAGUAUAGUGUAUGCUAGAGACUUGGAACAAAAAACUAGAGAUCAAGUUUUUUUUUUCUCUUUUUCUGCUAUGUUUUCACUCAAUUUUCUUGAGAAUUGAAAAGACCUAAGACCAGUCGAAGCCUUUACUUUCUAUUGCUUUAGUUGGCAGCCAGGUGUCUAUUGUUUAAUUGAUCUAAAGUGCUAGUGAAGCGCCAGAGAUGGCGGAUUAAUUAACUUUUAAUAUGUUAAAUUAAAAUAUGAAACAAGUUUUUCAGAAAAAUGAUUUCUCACGAAUCAAACAGAACAAAUUUAAUUAAAUAAUAUAAUUUCGACGUUCAAAUCAGUAUUGUCAUCAAAAUUGGCCUACCCAUUUGGUUCCAUAGCCAAUUCAAUAGUGCCAUGUGUCAACUUUUUGAUAUUUUAAAAUAUUUUAAGAAUUUUAUAAACACACCGAAUGCUUUAGGAUUAUAUAAUAACCACCAGUGGCAACGUCAAGAUCAUCAUCUCUUGCACUUGCUAUUUUUCCAAAUCAAACAAUAAUCUGCCGUCCACAGCACGGUACAGUAUAUAGUCUGAAGGUCCGACCAUCAGGCCGUCCUCAACUUUGACUGAGUUAUAUAUAUAUAUAUAUAUCGAGAGAGAAGACUUGGCCACAUCAAAACAACUCUCAACGUAAAUCAACACUCUUUCAUACCAUUAAGAUAAUACAUUUCAGAAGCAAAAUGGGGAUCUAGUUAAUAUAUGCGCGCUGCCCAUAAAUGGUAGAGAGAGAGAGAGAGAGAGAGAGAGAGAGAGAGAGAGAGAGUGAACUCAGAAGUGCGAGAAAGAAAGAGAAAAAGAGGAAUAUGCUUGGAAUCUGAUGAGAUUUGGCAACACAGAAAACCAAGUUCUCAACGGCUCUUUCUAUGUGUAUGCUUUGCCAAAAUUGCUCUUGUUCUUUUUCUGAAUUUCCUUGCACUUUCUUCACAAGGAGAUUAAUUGGGUAGAACUGUAAAGUGGUAGGGUCGGCAUUUGAUCCAAGGUUUUCAUCUCAGCACUUCACGACUCCCUCUUUUAUUUGUUUUUUGAAUCAGCAAGCAAAAGGUUACAGUUCGAACAACUAUUAAUGGUAGUUGCCUUGUCAAUAAACGAAAACUGCGUCACAGCUGAAACUGUUCUUCUUUCUUUUUCUAAACUAAGGCACCAAGAACAGAAAUUUAAAAUUUUAUUUUUAUUUACUAAGAACAGAGACGAAUUGAAUGUUAUGAUCUAAGGGGUCAUGUCAGUUUUCUCUUAUAAUGAGUGAGUACAUUUUAUUGAGAAAUGCAAAAACACAUGCCCCAUUUUUGUCAUUUCGUGUAAAGAAAAAAAUAGUGUGUUUGAUAGUAAGCUUUGCGGGAAAAUGACAUUCUUGAUAUUUGUUUUACAAAAAAUGAUUAAAAUCCUUAUUUGUCUUGCAUAACAGUAAAAUUUUAAUGAGGCCCAAUGUAUUAGAAAUGGGACUCAAUUCUAUAUGGUAAUGGUAUAGUAAAAAACUCAAAACCACAUUUAUCUAUAUCGUGUGCGUGAGACUGGGACUCCCUUGUAUACAAAAAAUCAUAUAAUUAUCUUUUUUACCAAGUAAUCCAACCCAAGAGACGUGUUCUCAAAUUGAAGAAGAUGUUCUAGUUCAUUUUUGCACCAAGAAAGUAAAACGCACAAAGAAUUCGCUUGACGGAUGUUUUGGAGCCAGUAGUUUCCAUGUUUGCAGAAAUGACAAACAUGUCCUGAAGAUAAGCUUUUUGGAUGCAUGUUGACCACAUCAACCUGCUUUGGAAUAGAAAAAGAUGGCAACCAAACUGGAAGAUCCGUAAUUUUUUUUCUUUGUCAAACAUAAGAAUGUUUUUAUCAAUGAAAAGAAAAGCUGCAAAUGAUAAAGCCAAAUCGAAUUGUAUUCAAUUUGAACCGAGACAAAGUAAAAAAACGUAGACUGAGAUUGGAAAUUGAGAUGUAGGUGACUCCAACUAACAGGAAAAAAUUAAUGAAAACUGAAAAAAUGGAAAUUAAAAUUAAAAUAGGUAAUUGACUUUCCUCUUUAAUAUGCGGGUGGCGUCUCCCUUUUGAGCAGCCGUUCCCAAGCAUUACACGCUAGCGAGAGAGAGAGAGAGAGAGAGAGAUUUCUUGCCAGAUGAUUCAUUCGUAGGGUUGUUGAGCUGGGUACAUCGUUUUUGCUGUUUGCUGUUAGAUUUUGGUUAAUUGAGCAAUUGCUUUGCCGAAAUCUGCUUCUUGGAGAGAGAGAGAGAGAGAGAGAGAGAUUUCUUGUAAGAUGAUUCAUUCAUAGAGUUGUGGAGCUGGGUACAUCGUUUUUGCUGUUUGCUUUUAGAUUUUGGUUAAUUUGAGCAAUUGGUUUGCCGGAAUCUGCUUAUUGGAGCGAGAGAGAGAGAGAGAGAGAGAGAGAGAGAGAGAGAGAGAGAGAGAGAGAUUUCUUGUAAGAUGAUUCAUUCAUAGAGUUGUGGAGCUGGGUACAUCGUUUUGCUGUUUGCUGUUAGAUUUUGGUUAACUUGAGCAUUUGGUUUGCCGGAAUCUGCUUCUUGGAGAGAGAGAGAGAGAUGUCUGUAGUCCAGAAAGAGUUGAAGGAUUCAGGAUCGUCGUCUCCCUCACGCCCCAAUUCAGCUGAUGGGUCGUCUCCUACCGCGCGGUUCUGCAAUCUCAGAGGUGUCCAGUGGCGUAUCAAUCUAGGGGUUUUACCAUCCAUUUCUUCCUCAAUUGACGAUCUUCGACGAGUGGCUGCGGAUUGUCGGAGGAGGAUGUGUGAGAACGUGCAGUACUGUGUCUCUCUUUCAAAAUUGGAUUACAUAAUUGAUGGUUGCAAACGUUAGGUAUUUUGUGGAAGGUGAAAAUUAAGUUAUUGGUAUGUUGGUUUUACAAGAUUCACGUUCAAUACAUCUUAAAAUUGGUUAAUGAUGAAACUUAGAUAUGCUCCCGUAGGUGGUGUAUGUUUCAAUAACCGAGAGUUUCGGGUGCCCCCUUUACAACUAAGGCUGGGCAUCGGGCCGGCCCGGCCCGAAAAAAUUGACAAACCCUGAGCCCAUUAACACUACCGGGCCAGCCCGAGACCCGGCCCGUUUGUAACCGGGCCGGGCCGGGCCGAUGAACUAUCGGGCCUCGGGCUUGAAAUUACGCCCGAGGCCCGGCCCGGCCCAAUUAUUGACGGGCCUGGUGUCGGGCCGCGCCGGGCUUCCCUCUUGCUACUGUCGUGAACGGCCUUGCUGCUACCGUGAAGGGCCUCUUGCUGCUGCCGUGCCGUGAAGGGUCUCACUUUCAAGCCUUUCUCCCUUCUUUUUCCGUUGUUUUUUCCUCCCCCGCUUUUCAUUUGCAAGCGAACACUCCACGGGUUCUUGUUGGCCAUACAUUCCCUCUUCAAUUUGAUGACUGGUUGCAAUGCGAGGUUGUUGUGCAAGACAGACAACAAAAGCAGGAUGUUGUUUGGCUAGGCAGUUGAGAGUGAGACUCAAUGCCUCUGCCUCUGUUGUAGUAUGAUAGAAGUAGAAGAGGCGGAAGGAAGACAUACCUCUCUCUCCCUCUCACCCUCUGUGUUCUUGGUUCUUUCCCCCUUUCCUUGGUUGUUAGAAUGAUGGAGAUAAAAAGGAGAAGAAAGUCAGAUGAAGAAUCACUCGUCAUCAUCAAAGGACUCACCAGAGGAAACAGCCGGAGGGGAUUGUGAUCCACAAAACAGCAAAUUUCUGAAAACCCAAACCCCAACCUCAAUCCGAACAGAGCGGACUGCUCAUCCCACGCAACCUCCACUCUGCUGGCGUCCUCUUCACCUGCCACUUCCCAUCACCAACCUUUGUUGGCAUCCUCUUCACUGCCAGUCAGCCACUUCCCAGUGGCGAUGGCAGAUUCCUCAUCCCCCGCAACCUCCACUUACUCUCCCUCCCCACGACUUUCCCUCUCUACCGCCUUCGACAUAACCUCUAUUUUUUUUUAGAUAGUCGGGUUUAUCGGGCCGCCGACGGUAACAUGUUCAAGCCUGAACCCGGCCCGUUAAAGUAACGGGCCGGGCCGAGCCCGAUAAAACGGGCCCGAUAACUAAUUUUUCUAAGCCCAGGCCCGGGCCCGAACCGGGCCGGGUAUCGGGUACCCGGCGGCGGCCCGGCUCGGUGCCCAGGCUUAUUUACAACCUGUUGUUGCUCCUGUAGAACAGUCACAAAAGUGGACUAAGACCUUCGUAAUUGCUCUAGGCACCUAUCUAUCUCAAGACGAAGCCCUUCGACAAGUGCGUUAGGGUCUGGUAGGGGCAUUGUUAUUGGCUGCCAGUAUUGGUUAUUGAACUCAGGUGGGUGGCCUCCUCUUCUGUUAUCAUAUGCCCGUCGGUCACAACAAGGUAUGUGGUCAGAAUUUUCCCUCAAACGUGAAACCGUAGGCUCCCAUUCUUGUUGGUAUCUUCUCAAACGGUUGGCUCCACUUCUGCUCUCAAUAUCAUAUGCCCGUCGGUCACAACAAGGUAUGUGGUCAGAAUUUUCCCUCAAACGUGAAACCGUAGGCUCCCAUUCUUGUUGGUAUCUUCUCAAAUGGUUGGCUCCACUUCUGCUCUCAAUAUAUCUACAGGUAUACGUGUGACAACCGCUUGACCUUUUCCUUGGCUGGAAUAAUCUAGCACCCACUUCAGCUCUUAGUCUGUAUUUGAUCCCCCUAUUUUCUGAACGUCUCCCUCUGUAAAUUGUAGGUACCGAUUUGCUACCAUUUUUCGAACCGAGAGGAGGGUGCUGUGAUCGGGAGAUAGGUAGGGCUGCACAACGAGUCGAACCAACUCGGGCUCGACUCGAACUCGCUCGAAAAAGCUCGGCUCGAGCUCGACUCAUUUAUAAACGAGUCGAGUUCGAGUUGAAAGUUAAGCUCGAGUCAAUAAACGAGUCGAGUUCGAGUUGCAAGAACUCGACUCGUUUAAACUCGACUCGACUCGUUAAUUGAAAAUUAGAUGAACCGGUUUUCGAAACCGGUUCAGCGGUUUAGGGUAAAUUUGUUUUUUCUUUUGGCUCUCGUCUAAUCUCAAUCCCGCGCCGUCUGCUCUCCCUCUUGGCUCUCGUCUUCUCAAUCCUGCGCCGUCUGCUCUUCCCCUCUUCCAUCGACCAGAGGCACCCUCUCUUCCGCUGCUCCGCAGACCGUUGCUGGCUUUCUGCCGCGGCCUUCUCUUGCCACUGGCCCCCGCGCCCCACCCCACUCUCGCUGCUGCUGCCUGACCUCACAGCUUGCUGGACUCCUGCUCCCACCUUCACGCCAGUCAGACGACGCAUCUAUCGCCUUUCCCCUUCUCUCGUUGUUGCUGCCUCACAGCCUCAGGCGCGUCCCUCUCACUCUUGCUGGACUCCUGCUCCCGCCUUCACGCCAACAGGAGCGGGAAGGCGAGAUUCAGCCGGAGCUACCCAAACUCGACGAGGGUUUCUACGAGAUCGAAGACGUCAGGAAGAAGCGGACGAGGAAGGGUCAGGUUCAGUAUCUCAUAAAAUGGCGGGGAUGGCUGGAGACAGCGAAUACGUGGGAGCCGGAGGAGAACCUCCAGAGUUGCCGAGAUAUCCUCGAAGCUUAUGAAGAGAGGACAUUCAUGAGAAGACCGGCUUGCCUGGGGUUGAUAUGGGAGUGAAGGAGGCUACUGAUGAAUUUUCUCUUAUGACUGUUCUAGAGCCUAAAAUAUGUGAGUUGCAAGCGGGUCAGUUGAUUUUACAAGAGGCCCCUAGAGAUAGUAGACUCCAGGGAUGCUGGGACAGGAAAUGCAGCUCUACAAGCAAUAAUGAUUGUAUCCUGUGGCUUGACAAGAUUGUGCAACAAUGAAAGAACUAUGUGGCUUGAUCAUGCUUCAGCA